ensembl:lncRNA
GCUCUGUCUAGACCCUUCAGCUCCUAUGGGUGUGUGGAGCGCGCUGGGGAAAUGGGUUUUCCACUCUAAUCAAAUGCCAAGGUGCUAUGAGUCAGAGGCAGCGCUACGUGCUGAUCCUCACCACUGAUGGUGCUGCCAGUUUCACAAGAACAAUUCAAACAUGGUUUUAUCAACGUGUUUUUUUACUAUGUUUUUGUACUUGCUGAGUGAUAAUAAUUGCUAAAAUACGGGAUUAUUCAAUGAUAAACCACUGUAACUCUAAGAGGUAAAUGAAACCUCUACUUUUGUACACUGCCGCAUAGGCCUACAGACUGACCCUGGAGCCCCCUGCCCUACUUAUAUUUUGUGUGUGUGUGUGUGUGUGUGUGUGUGUGUGUGUGUGUGUGUGUGUGUGUGUGUGUGUGUGUGUGUGUGUGUGUGUGUGUGUGUGUGUGUGUGUGUGUGUGUGUGUGUGUGUGUGUGCUUUGUGUGAUUGCGAUGCUUUUCAUAAGCUAGGUCAGGUGUUGUAGAGACGCAAAGACUGACAACGUGCAGGAUUGAGAAGCCCUAAGUCUCUCCUGACAGAUAUCCACAUUAUCCAGGAAAACGCCAGCUAACCAUAUCCAGCCUGGCUUGGACUUGACUGAUCUGGCUGAUAAUUGUUAUUUUUACAAAGAUCUAAUAUAUUCCAUAUUAAUAUACACAUUUUGUUGCAUUAUGAAUAAUGCCUUAUUUUUCACAGUUGUCAAUAUUCUAAAUUUGUUUUAAGGUUCUGUAAGUCACUUUGGGGGUCAUUUUAAAUACUAUUUUAAAUACUACAACCUUAAAACUUGCAUAAUUUAACUAUUUCCAGCCUGGCUUGCUCUAGAAAACUCUGACUUACUGAGCCUCUCCUCGCAGAUAUCUCCCUUAUCCAGGGACCUCCACCUGGAAGUGUGGCCCCCUGGGGCCAGCCUGAGUCUGCCCCUCUCAGCGCUCAGCUCCAGGCUGUGGUUCAGACUCAGGAGCCUCUGGUUCUCGCAGCCCCACUGGAGGUUCUCUCCGCCGUCGCAGGCCACGGUGAGAACCGGGUGCUCCUGGAACGCCGAGAGGCAGCGCUGCGUGCCGAUGUUCCACAGGAAGCGCUGAUCCUGCCACGCCCACUGCUGGAGGUCAUCGUCAAGGUUACACUUUCGGAGGGUGACAGCAGUGCCUGCUGGGGAGUCUUGUAAACAGAGGCUUUCAACGGUGUUGUGGAUCAUGAAGCCACUUGCCCCUUAAAUGAACACACAAACAACGGUUGAGAACGAAAUAUAGACUCAGAUAGAUCAAUGUAACUGUUGUGAGUCACACUGUCACACAGUACCACAGUUCAGGCUCAUCUCAAGUGAGUAGGUUUACACAACCUUAAAAUGAAGUAAUUUAUUUUGACAAAAAUGUAAGGAAAUUGAAUAACAGGACAAAAGAAACAUUUAAAAAAUCAGCACAUAUGCAAAAUAGCACAAAAUAGUUGAAUGAAUUGAUUUCCAAGAGAUCUAAUAUCAAACUAUCCUCAUUCUAACACUGACGUUGACUGACAGACUUACCAUGCAAGAGGAAGCACAGUGCCACCCAGAACAGAUGCAUCACUCCCAACAGGCAAAGACUCAUUUAACCUUUAAAAUAAAACAACAUUACAACGAGCCCAAACAUCACUUCUGCCACAUCACUAUUAGAUUCAAGUAGCUUUAAGCCUGUCCUGUUCAAAUGUGUUUAGUCCCAUCCUGAUGUAGGAAGUUACUGUGUGUUCCACACCGAUCCUAAGGGUCUGUGCAGAUCUCUGUCUGUCUGUGUCUGUCUUUCACCUAGGUGUGUGAAGAGUGUUUAUCUGUGCAAAACUCUGUCUGUGUCUGUCUCUCACUUAGGUGUGUGAAGAGAGUUUGUCUGUGCAGAACUCUGCCUGUGUCUGUGCCUCACCUCUGUGUGUGAAGAGUGUUCGUCGUUACGGUGUGUGUUUGAAACAUGAUGUAAUGAGAUACAGUGCAGCUGUGUGAGGACGUGUUGGAGUCUGUGCCUGCGCUAACAGGAAUCCCUGUCAUAUUCUGCAGCCUCUG